rnacentral:rRNA from 1 species
GACGAACGCUGGCGGCGUGCCUAAUACAUGCAAGUCGAGCGCUGAAGGUUGGUACUUGUACCAACUGGAUGAGCAGCGAACGGGUGAGUAACGCGUGGAGAAUCUGCCUUUGAGCGGGGGACAACAUUUGGAAACGAAUGCUAAUACCGCAUAAAAACUUUAAACACAAGUUUUAAGUUUGAAAGAUGCAAUUGCAUCACUCAAAGAUGAUUCCGCGUUGUAUUAGCUAGUUGGUGAGGUAAAGGCUCACCAAGGCGAUGAUACAUAGCCGGCCUGGGAGGGUGGUCGGCCCCAUUUGGACUGAGAAACGGCCCAAACUCCUACGGGAGGCAGCAGUAGGGAAACUUUGGCAAUGGACGGAAGUCUUGCCGAGCAACGCCGCGGGAGGGAAGAAGGUUUUCGGGUCGGAAAACUCUGUUUGUAGGGAAGGACGUUGGUGAGAGUGGAACGCUCAUGAAGUGACGGUAACUACACAGAAAGCGACGGCUAACUACGUG